GUUGAAUAUCUCAUUUCUUAGCUUUUUUCGCCGGUCAAAUUCAGCCGUCCCGCGGGGGAUGCGAUGUCUACCGGUGACAGCAAGGCUACGCCGACCAUCUCGCUUCGCUUGGCCCUGCCGCACCACAAUUGACGCAAAUCCAGCCACCGGAGGAGCAAGGCGGACAAGGACUGGGAGUUCAAGAUAUGCAGCUGCCGCACGCACCACAUGGGCAGCAGAAUGGCUUGCCGGAGGGCACGCAGUUCAUUCUUCAGUCAGUGCAGUUGCAGGAUACAUUCUCGCCGCGCUCCCUCCUGCUGGGCGCCAGGGGACCGCUGGUGUUGACGCUGCAUCCAUCAAUUUGCGGGGCAAGGUGCAAAACAGAGGACUGUGUCCAUGGUGGCCGGUCGUCUUGUUAUGUCUGAUGACGAAGGUGGUAGCUGUAUGAAGGAUUGUAGAAACCAGAAUGCAGGGAAGAGGCCUUGUGUUGUUCAAUCUGGCAUGAGAGAUUCAUAUUUGAAGACAUUAAAUC